UCCAAGUGAAGGCUAAUAGCUAGCUGUUCUGUUUACCAGCAGGGAGGAGCUCAGGGUUGGUGCCAGGCCCUGACUCAUCUCCAUUUGGACUCCCUUGGAUCUUAGCACAUGGCGACCCCAGAGUCAGAGCACAGGACAGCUCAAGCAGACUCACCGGGAGUUGCCUGCAAGAUCAGAGUUUACUGUGACACUCCCUCGAUGGUAGCAGCAACCCAGUGUUCUGACAGGUAGAUCCAUCACCCUCAGGGGAUUCCAGUGGCAAGAGAAAGGGAAGGAGGAGAGGUGAGUAA
rnacentral:lncRNA from 1 species